GUAGCCGGCCUGAGAGGGCGACCGGCCACACUGGGACUGAGACACGGCCCAGACUCCUACGGGAGGCAGCAGUGGGGAAUAUUGCACAAUGGGCGAAAGCCUGAUGCAGCGACGCCGCGUGAGGGAUGACGGCCUUCGGGUUGUAAACCUCUUUCAGCAGGGAAGAAGCGAAAGUGACGGUACCUGCAGAAGAAGCGCCGGCUAACUACGUGCCAGCAGCCGCGGUAAUACGUAGGGCGCGAGCGUUGUCCGGAAUUAUUGGGCGUAAAGAGCUCGUAGGCGGCUUGUCACGUCGGUUGUGAAAGCCCGGGGCUUAACCCCGGGUCUGCAGUCGAUACGGGCAGGCUAGAGUUCGGUAGGGGAGAUCGGAAUUCCUGGUGUAGCGGUGAAAUGCGCAGAUAUCAGGAGGAACACCGGUGGCGAAGGCGGAUCUCUGGGCCGAUACUGACGCUGAGGAGCGAAAGCGUGGGGAGCGAACAGGAUUAGAUACCCUGGUAGUCCACGCCGUAAACGGUGGGCACUAGGUGUGGGCAACAUUCCACGUUGUCCGUGCCGCAGCUAACGCAUUA
rnacentral:rRNA from 1 species